UACGGGAGGCAGCAGUGAGGAAUAUUGGUCAAUGGGCGAGAGCNUGAACCAGCCAAGUAGCGUGCAGGAUGACGGCCCUAUGGGUUGUAAACUGCUUUUAUAAGGGAAUAAAGUGAGUCUCGUGAGACUUUUUGCAUGUACCUUAUGAAUAAGGACCGGCUAAUUCCGUGCCAGCAGCCGUGGUAAUACGGAAGGUCCGGGCGUUACCCGGAUUUAUUGGGUUUAAAGGGAGCGUAGGCCGGAGAGUAAGCGUGUUGUGAAAUGUAGACGCUCAACGUCUGCACUGCAGCGCGAACUGGUUUCCUUGAGUACGCACAAAGUGGGCGGAAUUCGUGGUGUAGCGGUGAAAUGCUUAGAUAUCACGAAGAACUCCGAUCGCGAAGGCAGCUCACUGGAGCGCAACUGACGCUGAAGCUCGAAAGUGCGGGUAUCGAACAGGAUUAGAUACCCUGGUAGUCCGCACGGUAAACGAUGGAUGCCCGCUGUUGGUCUGAAUAGGUCAGCGGCCAAGCGAAAGCAUUAAGCAUCCCACCUGGGGAGUACGCCGGCAACGGUGCAACUCAAAGGAAUUGACGGA
rnacentral:rRNA from 1 species